rnacentral:rRNA from 1 species
GACGAACGCUGGCGGCGUGCCUAAUACAUGCAAGUCGAACGCAGUGGGGACGGGUGAGUAACACGUGGGUAACCUCCCAUCAGAGGGGAUAACACUUGGAAACAGGUGCUAAACCGAUACUGAUGGAUGGACCCGCGGUGCAUUAGCUAGUUGGUGAGGUAACGGCUCACCAAGGCCACGAUGCAUAGGCGACGUGAGAGGGUGACCAGCCACACGCGCAUGGUGACACGGCCCAGACGCCUACUGGAGGCAGCAGUAGGGAAUGUUCGACAAUGGACGAAAGGCUUAAGGAGAAGCGACGCGUGAGGGAAUAAGGUGUUCGGAGCGUAAAACUCUGUUGUUAGAGAAGCGGUAUCUAACCAGAAAGCCACGGCUAACUACGUGCCAGCCGCCGCGGUAAUAC